CGCCAUCUCAUUCUCUCCUCCUUCCUUUUCAAGAUUGUUGCGGUGGGAUAUGCCGUCCUGACGACGACUGGGUCGGUGGAUCUUGACCGGAAAAUGAGGGCUUUUCGGGUCUUACCCAUGUUCCUCUUUGCCUGCUCCUCUUAUCUUUCGCAUCUUAUUCUGCUCUCGUCAGCUUCGCAGGAAUGUGCCAGUGUCUCCAACCAAAAUGUUUUAAGCCUUUUAAGUAGCUUCUCAUUCUUGUACAGUGUACACUACUCUUUGUCGUCUUUCAUAUGGUUUCAGAUUUUGCACUGUCGUUGUUGCAUUGCUUUUCGAGAAAAUGUACAUCAUCGAUUUGCAAAAGUUCACUAGGAAGCAGUUGUUUUAGCGGUUGGGAUAUCGAUGACGAAUGUAAAGUCGGGCCAUAAAUUUCUGAUUUGAAAUGAAAAUAAGAGAGGUAGUUGAGUUGUUCAA